rnacentral:rRNA from 1 species
UUGCAUUUUCAUAAGCGGAGGAAAAGAAACCAACCGGGAUUGCCUUAGUAACGGCGAGUGAAGCGGCAAAAGCUCAAAUUUGAAAUCUGGUACCUUUGGUGCCCGAGUUGUAAUUUGGAGAGGGCAACUUUGGGACCGUUCCUUGUCUAUGUUCCUUGGAACAGGACGUCAUAGAGGGUGAGAAUCCCGUGUGGCGAGGAGUGCGGUUCUAUGUAAAGUGCCUUCGAAGAGUCGAGUUGUUUGGGAAUGCAGCUCUAAGUGGGUGGUAAAUUCCAUCUAAAGCUAAAUAUUGGCGAGAGACCGAUAGCGAACAAGUACAGUGAUGGAAAGAUGAAAAGAACUUUGAAAAGAGAGUGAAAAAGUACGUGAAAUUGUUGAAAGGGAAGGGCAUUUGAUCAGACAUGGUGUUUUGCGCCCUCUGCUCCUUGUGGGUGGGGGAAUCUCGCAGUUCACUGGGCCAGCAUCAGUUUUGGUGGCAGGAUAAAUCCGUAGGAAUGUAACUUGCUUCGGGAAGUAUUAUAGCCUAUGGGAAUACUGCCAGCUGGGACUGAGGACUGCGACGUAAGUCAAGGAUGCUGGCAUAAUGGUUAUAUGCCGCCCGUCUUGAACCCCGGGACCA